UUGUACACUAUUGUAGUAUAAUGGUUGUUAUCGUAUAGACGUCGGUGCUUCCUUCGAUUUUAACAAGUAAAAGUGUUCAGAAAUUCUUUCAAACGAUACACGGACUGUAUACUAGUUUUUCGUGGUAGACAUUUUUGUAACAAGAUUUUUAGACAAAAAUCGGAUGUGGCUGUGUUAUAAAACGGAAUACGAGUUAAAAGUGACACAAAGUACAAUUUGUUUCGUUACGGAAAAAAUAAUACUACAUUAUACUAAGAGUAAACGUAUGUGACUUAAUUAUAAAUUAUAUUUAAUUUUCAAAGUAUAGCGUUUACACUUACUUUUCUAACUAUACAAAACAUUGUGCAUUUGUUGAACAUUCCCAAAAAUAGUAUUGGCCUAACUGUUCACAUUUGUUUUAAAUCUUCAAUUUAACCGGAAAAAUUAAAAAUGUUUUCAACCAAUAUAGGACAGUUUAUGUACAUGUGUAUGGUAUGUGUGGUUACAGCAGAAACCAUGUUUUACCGAUCUGGUGAUAUCUUAGUAGAAAUUGAGAGGUCGGCUUCAACAGAACAAUGCUAUGUAUACGGACAUAGGGGUAUUAUAAAACAAAUACUUGAAGAAGAGACGUCAUCACCUGUUAUACCAAUCACACGCGAGGAAAUCCAUAGCAUCAUCAACUCAUGUACUACUGAUAUUAACACUUUAUUGAAGCUCUCCACCAACAAGAGAUAUAAAAGACAAUUAAUUUUCCCUGGAACCAAAUGGUGCGGAACUGGUAACAUAUCAUCAAAUUAUUCCGAUUUGGGUGAAAAUGCUGAAACAGACCAUUGCUGUAGGGAACAUGACCAUUGUCCGAACUAUAUACUACCAUUCAAAUCAAAAGAUGGUUUGACUAAUUAUGGUUUAUUCUCGAAAUUCCAUUGUGACUGUGAUGACGCCUUUUACAACUGUCUCAAAUCCACCACAGAGAAAGCUGCGAAAGAUGUCGGUUAUUUGUAUUUCAAUAUUCUAAAGAUAAACUGUUUUAAAGUGAUCGAUGUUGAAACCUGUCUAAAGAAGGGGUGGUGGUUUACGUGUAGUGAGAAAGGAAUUGUAAAACGUACAAGAUUUGUUUCAAACAAAUCGUUUUAAUUUCUUAUUGUUAGUGUAUCGAUUCUAUAUACUUCCAUUUAACUUUCUAAUAAACGUUUUCAGGUCUGUUUUCUCACUGUAUGUUGGUAUUUCUUCAGUUGUUUGUGAAAUCACAAGCUGAAAUGACAAUUUGUAUUCUUUUAAACACCUUGAACUAACCUUGACUAUGGACACCAAAUUUGAAAAAAAUAAACCCAGGCCUUGACUACUUAUUCGGACUACAACAACCUGUCAGAGCUUCCUUGUCUACUGAAACCAUCUUCCAUAUUAUCUAUCUAUCUCGAAGUAUACGUAGUAUUUUCGACUAAAAUCGUAAUGUCGAUUAGUUCAGAAGCGGAGCUAACGUAGACAGUCAGCCUAAAUUUAGUAUGUACUUUACCAUAAUAUAUUUGUAGAAAUAAGCUAUUAGUAUUAAGCGCCCUUUUGUUAGGUCGGGGGUUUGAGAAAUAAAAAGGAAUCACGUGAUACACAGUGCGUGUGCCCGUUGUGUAGUAAUAUUGAGGUCAUGGAUUUGUGAUAAGGAACUUCUAUGUAUAAUAAUUUUAUGGUUUUAAUUAAUUAUUCUCCAUUGCCAGAAUAUUAGCUACGGUAUAAGUUAAUUCUGAAACGCAGCUAUAGUUUAGUAAACAUGUUGGUCAUUUGCAUUUUUCAAGGAUAAAUUCUAAAAGCACGUGAUAGGAAAGAUACCAUUUCAUAUUUGGCAAGAGGGACCAAUCACAUAAUUAAUUACAUCAUAAUUAGCCAAUAGAAUAAUUAAUGGAUGUGAAUCUGAGAAUAUAUAAUUAAAAGAAUGUGCGCUCUAGCCAUUAGUUCUCGUAUGGAGAAGAUGUAGGAAUUUCCAUCAGCAGACUCGCAAAGUCUGCAUGAGGGCGGGUUAGAGAGAAUGACUUUAUUAUGCUUGUAACUUUGUAACCUAUAUGUAGCAGUGCUUAAUAUAAAAUGUAGGAGCAAAAUGUGUUAUUGUUGUUACUGUGUGCACCCAUAAACUGAAUGAGUGGCAGAACAAAUACGCAAUAUUUAAAGUGGAGUCCUAAGAAGAAAAUAAGAAACAAACGCGGCCAGAGACAAUACUAGUAAGAAACGAUGCAUGGGUCAUAUGUAGGAUAUGGCGACCGGUUUGUGUAGCCCGCUCUCCACGUCAGACAUAUGUCCAUGGUGCUACAGUUGUUCUUUAAAAACGACGUUUCUAACGUCUUUUCAGGAACAUAGGGCGUUCGGUGUGCUAAAACCCUUCUUUAUUUGACAGAUAUUGAAAGGAACGUUCGCGGACAGUGUUCAA